GACCACCUUCAAAGUAUGGGAGGUUAAGUUUCCUAAACUCCGCUAUGUUGUCAAAAAUGGAUAUUUAGGUGUUUUGGGAUUCAGGGUUAGAAGGUAGACAAGGGUUGGCUUGAUUUUGUCCUAUGGCUGUAGUUAAUCCUUGGAUAGCUCAAAAGAGUUCGACAAAUUCAGCCCUGGUCGGGUGAUCCGAGGCUUCAAGUCAGUCAUUACGCUCUAUGGAUGGUCUUCCUCGCGUCAUUCUUACAAAAGAAAGGAAGAAAGAGUUGGUGAUCUAGCUUAAAAAGAGGACUUAUUAUUCCUAGGUACUCUAAAGGGCUUUUUCUACCUAAGGCCUCAGUCUAAGGGAUAUGAUACGCAAUUAUUCUUCUCUGAUACCAUCUGGGACAUCCCAGAUGUUAAUUAAGGCAAAUGGGUGU
rnacentral:lncRNA from 1 species